AUUCGGAGUUGAAAGACCUCAACCCCAGAGAGCGCCUUUUCUCCCCUGUGGGUCAUUACGCAAUGUGUCUCCUUGCUUACCUUUCCGGUCUUCCCUGCACACACAUGAGCGGGGCUGUCAUUUGGCAGAUGGAGUCUCUGAGUUACGUCAACACCUUCCUCAGAGCCCGCUGCAGGCUCAGGCUGGGAGCUUUCCUUCUUGGAUGUUUAUUUUACACCUCUUACAAAGAAGAUGUGGCUGAGUGUGUGCAAGGAGGAGGCCCCCAGCUUGAAGCUCAUGAGUACUUGUUGUGACUUCAGAUCUUCUGAGUGGAGUUCCUGGCCUCUCUAGCAGCACAGCAGUGACUUCAUACUUGUACAGUGUCCUGGACAGAAGAAACGGUGCACGCUUUUGAUGUCUCUAGCAUCCUAGCAACAAUUAUCUAAAAUGUUUCAGACCCCAUAAACCAAUACUGAAAGUG